rnacentral:lncRNA from 1 species
GGGGAGGACAGCGAGUGCACGUGGGACAGGAAGUGUGGGCCACGUCUGAGGGCAGCCACAGUCCAGCUCAGCUUAGGGAGGGGUGGACACCUGACAGGAAGCGAGCGGGUGCUGGGCAGACCCAGGUGCGGGAGCUGGUGGUGCAGACGCAGGCUCCUCUGAACCUGGGAUGAGCCUGAGCUGGACAGGAGUGAUCCCUCUGGGACAUGGGAGCCCGCUUCGUGACCUCAGGGAGAACAAAAGAGCGAACGACCCGCCUUCCCCACACUGCGGUCACCGUCACCGUCUGGAGCAACCAGUGACAUUUCUGGACUUCCAUUACUUCCCCCUCCGGUCCACAUUCUUCCUACCGAGCCAGAAGAGACACUGCAAACAGGAGCACGGUCCCCGGGCCAGCAGCUGCCACCCAGUGCUCCUGUGUCUGACAGGAAGAGGAAGCAGAGCACAGAGGCGGAGUUAUGGUCAGAAUAUCGGGAGUAACGGCAGGGGCUGCGCAGGGUCGCGCAAGGCGGGUCUGCAGUGGGAGCUCAAAGAUCAAUGAGCUGGUAGUAAGAAGGGCUAAGUAGCUGAACGGGAAGACCACUUAAGCAAUACAAAUAGUCAAUAAGCUCAUCCAUCCACAGAGAAAUGCUUACUAGAGGAUGUGGGGUUCUGUUCUUUUCACCUAUCAGAUUGCAAACAAAGAACCUCCACCCUCGGGUGCAAAUCUGGCUGUGGAGAAAUCACGCUGCUUUGAUUUGUCACUGGCAGGUGUGAUGUGAGACCGGCUCAGACAAGUGGCGGGUUCUGUGUUCAGGACAACAACGUCUCCACCACUGAACAGAACUGGAUGUUGCACAAGCUGAUUCCCUCACAGGCGAACAAAGGACCUGUUACGGCAGUGUCCACAGCAUUAAUUAAAAGUGAUUAAAAUAAUUAAAAAUAGCAAUGAGCCACAAGGUAAAUUGUGCAUGCUGUG